GACGUAGGGUCCGAGCGUUGUCCGGAGUUACUGGGCGUAAAGGGCGCGUAGGCGGUUUCUUGCGUCCCACGUGAAAGCCCCUGGCUCAACCAGGGAGGGUCGUGGGAAACGGGGGAACUGGAGGCAGCGAGAGGCUGGUGGAAUUCCCGGAGUAGUGGUGAAAUGCGUAGAGAUCGGAAAGAACACCAACGGCGAAAGCACUCUGCUGGGCCGACACUGACACUGAGAGACGAAAGCUAGGGGAGCAAAUGGG
rnacentral:rRNA from 1 species